rnacentral:rRNA from 1 species
GAUGAACGCUGGCGGCGUGCCUAAUACAUGCAAGUCGAGCGAACAGAUGAGAAGCUUGCUUCUCUGAUGUUAGCGGCGGACGGGUGAGUAACACGUGGGUAACCUACCUAUAAGACUGGGAUAACUCCGGGAAACCGGGGCUAAUACCGGAUAAUAUUUUGAACCGCAUGGUUCAAUAGUGAAAGACGGUUUCGGCUGUCACUUAUAGAUGGACCCGCGCCGUAUUAGCUAGUUGGUAAGGUAACGGCUUACCAAGGCGACGAUACGUAGCCGACCUGAGAGGGUGAUCGGCCACACUGGAACUGAGACACGGUCCAGACUCCUACGGGAGGCAGCAGUAGGGAAUCUUCCGCAAUGGGCGAAAGCCUGACGGAGCAACGCCGCGUGAGUGAUGAAGGUCUUCGGAUCGUAAAACUCUGUUGUUAGGGAAGAACAAAUUUGUUAGUAACUGAACAAGUCUUGACGGUACCUAACCAGAAAGCCACGGCUAACUACGUGCCAGCAGCCGCGGUAAUACGUAGGUGGCAAGCGUUAUCCGGAAUUAUUGGGCGUAAAGCGCGCGUAGGCGGUUUCUUAAGUCUGAUGUGAAAGCCCACGGCUCAACCGUGGAGGGUCAUUGGAAACUGGGAAACUUGAGUGCAGAAGAGGAGAGUGGAAUUCCAUGUGUAGCGGUGAAAUGCGCAGAGAUAUGGAGGAACACCAGUGGCGAAGGCGGCUCUCUGGUCUGUAACUGACGCUGAUGUGCGAAAGCGUGGGGAUCAAACAGGAUUAGAUACCCUGGUAGUCCACGCCGUAAACGAUGAGUGCUAAGUGUUAGGGGGUUUCCGCCCCUUAGUGCUGCAGCUAACGCAUUAAGCACUCCGCCUGGGGAGUACGACCGCAAGGUUGAAACUCAAAGGAAUUGACGGGGACCCGCACAAGCGGUGGAGCAUGUGGUUUAAUUCGAAGCAACGCGAAGAACCUUACCAAAUCUUGACAUCCUUUGACCGCUCUAGAGAUAGAGUCUUCCCCUUCGGGGGACAAAGUGACAGGUGGUGCAUGGUUGUCGUCAGCUCGUGUCGUGAGAUGUUGGGUUAAGUCCCGCAACGAGCGCAACCCUUAAGCUUAGUUGCCAUCAUUAAGUUGGGCACUCUAGGUUGACUGCCGGUGACAAACCGGAGGAAGGUGGGGAUGACGUCAAAUCAUCAUGCCCCUUAUGAUUUGGGCUACACACGUGCCACAAUGGAUAAUACAAAGGGCAGCGAAUCCGCGAGGCCAAGCAAAUCCCAUAAAAUUAUUCUCAGUUCGGAUUGUAGUCUGCAACUCGACUACAUGAAGCUGGAAUCGCUAGUAAUCGUAGAUCAGCAUGCUACGGUGAAUACGUUCCCGGGUCU